UUCUUUUUUUUCUUUUUUUUUUUUUUUUUUUUUUCAUUUUGCCAUGGUUUUGACUCAGCCAUGGCCAUGACUCUUCGGGGGUCAGAGAUGAUGGGUGGUGAUUAAAUGACCCAGUCAACUUUCAGCUUGGAUUUUUUGGAGCUAACAAGCCCUGACAUAAACAGAGAUAAAAAUAUCAAAGUACUAGUGCCAUUAUUGAUGCUGAUAUAUCUUAAAUCUUUCUCCUUUAAGUUUACCUAGGAUGUUUCUUAUUCUGAGCCGAUCAAUAACAGAAAUUGGUACCAGGAGUGGGAUAUGAGCCACCAUUUCAACACCUUUAUUUCAUUAUCAGAAUCUUCAUGAACAUAGGGGAGUCCCAUACAUUCAAAUUUUAUGACUCCAACUGGAGUGCUGGGCCAGAGAGGAAUAAUAGAGAAUAAUGAGAAUUUAAGUCAUGCAGUCACUUCCGCCUACCAUUUCUCUCGAGUAUUCCCCUAGACUGAGUGUUAAAAGGGAGAUGUUAAUCUAUAGCUCCCUCAAUUGGUCAUAGAUUCUCUGCCUUACAGCGUGAGCUUCUCACUGUGCAGGGUGUGAUUCUAGUGUUUAAAGAUAAGUUUUUUUAUACAAGAUGGCCUCAAAUACAAGCCAACUACUUCAUCUGGUGCUCACCCAAAGAAUGAGCCAUCUGUUUGAAUGCUGAAGGAAAAAUUGGCUGUGUUGGACAUAUUGAGAGUCUGCCUCCAACAUGGUCUGUAAAUGUUGUAUACUGUAUUUUAAAGGUGACUUAGAUUUCCAAGCAUAAUUUUGACUUUAUGAUGUUUUUUUUCCUAGUAUGUACAUCUCUGUAUGAGAAGUAAACUCCGCUAUAGUACAUGUUGCAUCCUUCCAGUGUCCCUCUGUUACUGGAUAACAUAGGUCUCUGAAGGCAAGAGGUCAGCAAGAGAAGCCUGUGUCAGCAGAGUAUGAAAGGACCUUGAUGUGGAUGUGGAGCGAGUGCCUACAUAGAAGAGGGGUGGAGCCGCCACCCUGCUCUAGGUUUGCACAGCCCUCAGGCUAUGGAAGAGUUCUCUAGAGAUUCUUUGGGCUCCUUGAGAAGGAACUUGGAAGUUAAAGGAAGGACAGGAACUGUACAAUUACCUAGGUCAAAUGAGAAGACCACACACCUCAAGAGGGGCUUUGAGGACAUUUAUCACAUAUGGGUCAAAGGGACAAGCUCCUCCUCCCUUAAGGGGCUGAGGUGAAGCUGACAGUAGCCCAAGAAGACCACCAGCAUAAGACAGAACCAAGUCCAGUCAAUAGAAAUGAGGGACCCUUUCUAUCACCACCACCAGGCAAGCAGUUGCACAUUUCUAUCCCCCUCAUUCUUCCUCCUUGCUUCCAACACCAGACUUAAAGAAGGAAAGGGAGAAAGUAUCACAAAGACAGACGAUACUGUUACAAGUUCUGGAGUUGCCAUCCAGCCCAUGAUUGAGAUGGAUUUAGGGGUAGGGAUGCAAAAAUGGGGUUUUGCAUCAGAUAUGAAUGUUAAGAACUAUGGAGGGUCUGAUUUUACCUUGCAAGUUAACAGGUUAGCCUCCGUGUCUGAUGGCAGAAGACAUUAGACUCCUGGGUCAAAAAAAUUGCAUAUGUUACUCACCACACAGUAAAAGCAUGAGUCUCAGCAUAUUGGCUGGUUUCCCUGUGCCCCCAGGUCCCAUUCGGGGUAGGGGUGAUUGAUGGACUGAGAUAAUAUGAAUAUAUAGAGUGGGUUAUGCUCCAGGAGAAGCCAGGGCCAAGAGCCCAGUGCUUUGUGAGCAAACCACAAAUGUAGAAAAGAGCAAGCCAGCCAGUUCCCCUCUUCUUAAGACUGAGCAGUUAGAUGGUGGUAGCCUGGGCGGGAGAAGGAUGAGGCAAGGGAUGGCAUCAUGGUGCGAAAUUUAGGGAAGCACUCAGUGCUAGGUUUGUACAAAUGCAGGAUUAGCACCUAAGCACGAGAACCCCCUUAACUUUUGUGUCCUGGGCACCUUGCUUUCCUCACCCUGGUCCUGGCUUUGGUAGUCAUGCUGGACUACCUCGACUUACUUAAUUGUCUAUGUGAGUAGCUUCAGAAUUAGCUCAGUGUCAGAGCACACAUACUGGCCGUCCAGCAUACUCGGCAGGCACCUGCCUCUCCCAAAAUGAGAUUGAAGCUCAAAGCUGAACUGUUUUAAUAAUCCAUGGGUCAAAUCCAACUCCAGUCCAUGGUUUUGACAUUUUUCUAAAGGAUUGCAAAAUAAACAAGAAUAUGUAACAGAGAUCACAUGUGACCCACAAGGCCUAAAAUAUUUACUAUCUGGUUCUUUUCAGAAAAAGUUUGCUGACUCCCAUAAAAACCGAAAGGAAUUUAAUUUGUGCAUAUCUUUAAAAGAUAGAGAGAGAGAGAGAGAGAGAGACUAAAAGUAGUAUAGCUUCAGGCGAUACUUAAAAAAAAUUGUUUUACAUUUAUUCCCCUUAAGAGCUGUGUUUCUUCAAUAAACUAUUUUACACA